rnacentral:rRNA from 1 species
AGAGUUUGAUCCUGGCUCAGGAUGAACGCUAGCGGCAGGCCUAAUACAUGCAAGUCGAGGGGCAGCAGGGAUAGCAAUAUUCGCUGGCGACCGGCGCACGGGUGCGUAACACGUAUACAAUCUGCCUUUAACAGGGGGAUAGCCCGGAGAAAUCCGGAUUAAUACCCCAUAACAGAUCGAAUGGCAUCAUUUGAUUUUAAAAGCUCCGGCGGUUAGAGAUGAGUAUGCGACUGAUUAGCUAGUUGGUGAGGUAACGGCUCACCAAGGCGACGAUCAGUAGGGGAUCUGAGAGGAUUAACCCCCACACGGAUACUGAGACACGGAUCCGACUCCUACGGGAGGCAGCAGUAAGGAAUAUUGGACAAUGCCCGCAAGGGUGAUCCAGCCAUGCCGCGUGCAGGAAGACGGCCCUAUGGGUUGUAAACUGCUUUUACACCGGAGAAAACCCCCCUACGUGUAGGGGGCUGAUAGUAUGGUGAGAAUAAGCAUCGGCUAACUUCGUGCCAGCAGCCGCGGUAAGACGAAAGAUGCAAGCGUUAUCCGGAUUCAUUGGGUUUAAAGGGAGCGUAGGUGGCCUUAUAAGUCAGUGGUGAAAUCUCUCGGCUUAACCGAGAAAUUGCCAUUGAUACUGUAGGGCUUGAGUAUAGUUGCCGUUGGCGGAAUAUGACAUGUAGUGGUGAAAUACAUAGAGAUGUCAUAGAACACCGAUUGCGAAGGCAGCUGACGAAACUAUAACUGACACUGAGGCUCGAAAGUGCGGGGAUCAAACAGGAUUAGAUACCCUGGUAGUCCGCACUGUAAACGAUGAUUACUCGCUGCUAGAGGGCAACUUUUAGUGGCUUAGCGAAAGCGAUAAGUAAUCCACCUGGGGAGUACGCUCGCAAGAGUGAAACUCAAAGGAAUUGACGGGGGCCCGCACAAGCGGAGGAGUAUGUGGUUUAAUUCGAUGAUACGCGAGGAACCCUUACCUGGGCUUGAAAGUUAGUUGACGAACUCUGAAAGAGUUUUUCCGCAAGGACACGAACUUAGUUGCUGCAAUGGCCUGUCGGUCAGCUCCGUGCGUGUAGGCUAUUGUUAAGUUCCGGCAUCGGAGCGCAACUCUCU